CAAUCCUUUUGACUUUUCCCUAAGCUAAAUUAUACAGUGCACUUAUUUGACAAAAAUGGAGAAGCUCAUAUCAAGCAGAUGUCACUUGCAACUUGUGCCAGAAACUUACAUAUUACCACCAGAAAGUAGACCAGGACAGACACAAGUUCCUCUAUGUGAGACUAUUCCAGUGAUUGAUCUUGAAGGAGAGCUUAGUUUUGAUCGAGCACACUUGAUUAAACAGAUUAUACAGGCUAGCCAAGAAUUUGGAUUCUUUCGGUUGAUUAAUCAUGGGGUUUCAGAGAAACUGACGCAUGAUGUAAUUGAUGUGGGCAAGGAGUUCAUUGUGCUGCCUGCCAAGGACAAGGCAAGCUUAUAUUCUGAGGACCCCCAAGCAAAGUUGUAGACACAAGCAUAGAUUAUGAUUCAGAGAAGGUACACUACUGGAGAGAUACUUUGAGACACCCUUGUCAUCAUCUAGAGGAACACAUGCAAUUUUGGCCAGAAAAGCCACCUCAUUAUCGGGAGGUGGUUGGUAAUCAUGCAGCAGAGGUGAGGAAGCUGAGUUUGUGGGUUUUGGAUUUAAUUUGUGAAGGAUUAGGACUUGAAUCAAGAUAUUUAAGGGAAGAACUCAGCCAAGUUCAGUUAAU